GAUGAACGCUGGCGGCGUGCCUAAUACAUGCAAGUCGAGCGAACGGACGAGAAGCUUGCUUUUCUGAUGUUAGCGGCGGACGGGUGAGUAACACGUGGAUAACCUACCUAUAAGACUGGGAUAACUUCGGGAAACCGGAGCUAAUACCGGAUAAUAUUUUGAACCGCAUGGUUCAAAAGUGAAAGACGGUCUUGCUGUCACUUAUAGAUGGAUCCGCGCUGCAUUAGCUAGUUGGUAAGGUAACGGCUUACCAAGGCAACGAUGCAUAGCCGACCUGAGAGGGUGAUCGGCCACACUGGAACUGAGACACGGUCCAGACUCCUACGGCAGGCAGCAGUAGGGAAUCUUCCGCAAUGGGCGAAAGCCUGACGGAGCAACGCCGCGUGAGUGAUGAAGGUCUUCGGAUCGUAAAACUCUGUUAUUAGGGAAGAACAUAUGUGUAAGUAACUGUGCACAUCUUGACGGUACCUAAUCAGAAAGCCACGGCUAACUACGUG
rnacentral:rRNA from 1 species